UAGUACCAAAUUAAAACGUAUUAUAUCAUAUAUCAAGUCUAAUGAUACUAUGGUUUUGAGUUCCUAAACAUGUCCCUGUCUAUUUUCCCAGUUGCCGUUUAACGGAAUAACCAAUCAGGACUUAAUAGAAGAGAUUAUCAAAGCAUGCCCAGUAUAUCCACCAGACUUGGAUAUGGCAGCCAAAACACUGUUACAGGGACUCUUGACUAAAAAUGUUUUAUUCCGCCUUGGAGGAAACGUAUACGACAUGAAAACGAUACAGCAGCAAUGUUUCUUUAAGACCAUAGACUGGGAGGCUCUUGCCAAGAAGCAAGUAGAGGCCCCGUUCAUUCCCAAGCCCAGUCUGGCAUUUUUCACAGCAGAAGAAGAAUUGGUUUUAACAUCGACGUACAGUAAAGAGCCCAUUUCAGAGGAAAUCCAAGGCCAAUUUCAGGAAUUAUUUAAACCUGCAAAGUAAAGAUGAGAAAUGAAGACACCCAAACAAAAGGCUUCACUAAACAAUCAAGCCGUGGAUAAAAAGGAGAACCAUGGGACUGUACAACUUAUGAAAGCAGCCAAGAUCCAAUGUAGCUUCCAGGAACUGAACUGCAGUCCUGCUCCAACUUCUACCAUUGAGGAACACUAAAACAUCAGAACUACCAGGGCAGCCAUUGGGGGGUGGGUUAGGGGGUGAGUAGGGGCCCCAGUCUUUGCUGGGGCCCUGAAAACAAAAAACUGUGCCCCAGGAAUUUCCUGGGCCCCAGUUGGUUCCCAAUGGUUGCCCUGCCCACAGUCACCAAUGAACCUAUCUGAAAAGAAUUUAGAGGAUCCCUGCAACUUAUUUAUUUAUAUAUAUAUUUGUUUAUUUGUAUAUAUUUAUAGUGUUCACAUAGUAAAUAAAAAUCUUUGUUUCUACUGGUACAAUUUUCUAGUGGUUCUUUCAAUGUGCCAUGAGUUUUUAUCACCAUCAACUAUAA